rnacentral:snRNA from 14 species
AUACUUACCUGGCAGGGGAAAUACUAUGACCGCAAAGGUGGUUUUCCUACUGGCAGGGGAAAACCACUUCCUUGGCAGGGACGGAGGAAAGUCAUAGUUAGUCUCCCACUUCCACUUUUGAUGGGAAGAUCUUGGCUUUAUGCCCACUUUAUGGAAAUGGGAGACUCCUCCUUAGCUUGCUCCUG